UACGUAGGGGGCGAGCGUUGUCCGGAAUCAUUGGGCGUAAAGCGCGUGUAGGCGGCCCGAUAAGUCCGCUGUGAAAGUCCAGGGCUCAACCCUGGGAUGCCGGUGGAUACUGUCGGGCUCGAGUCCGGAAGAGGCGAGUGGAAUUCCUGGUGUAGCGGUGAAAUGCGCAGAUAUCAGGAGGAACACCAAUGGCGAAGGCAGCUCGCUGGGACGUUACUGACACUGAGGCGCGAAAGCGUGGGGAGCGAACAGG
rnacentral:rRNA from 1 species